GGGGAUGUGGUUUAGUGGUAUAAUACCUCUUUAGCAUUGAGUACUCUCAUCCUGAGUAGUAUCUUGAAUAGAGGUGGUCCGGGGUUCGAUUCCCCGCGUCUCCA
rnacentral:tRNA from 1 species